rnacentral:rRNA from 1 species
ACACAUGCAAGUCGAACGAUGAAGUUAUGACGGAGGCUUCGGCCGACUGAAUGAUGGAUUAGUGGCGGACGGGUGAGUAACGCGUGAGUAACCUGCCUUUCAGAGAGGAAUAACAUUUGGAAACGAAUGGUAAUACCACAUAACAUUACGUUCUCGCAUGGGGAUGUAAUCAAAGAUUUAUCGCUGAGAGAUGGACUCGCGUCCGAUUAGCUGGAUGGUGAGGUAACGGCCCACCAUGGCGACGAUCGGUAGCCGGACUGAGAGGUUGAACGGCCACAUUGGGACUGAGACACGGCCCAGACUCCUACGGGAGGCAGCAGUGGGGAAUAUUGCACAAUGGGGGAAACCCUGAUGCAGCAACGCCGCGUGAAGGAAGACGGUCUUCGGAUUGUAAACUUUUGUUCUUGGUGAAGAAGAAUGACGGUAGCCAAGGAGGAAGCCACGGCUAACUACGUGCCAGCAGCCGCGGUAAUACGUAGGUGGCAAGCGUUGUCCGGAAUUACUGGGUGUAAAGGGAGCGCAGGCGGGAAAUCAAGUUGGAUGUGAAAUGUCGGGGCUUAACCCCGGAACUGCAUCCAAAACUGAUAUUCUUGAGUGAAGUAGAGGUAGGCGGAAUUCCGAGUGUAGCGGUGAAAUGCGUAGAUAUUCGGAGGAACACCAGUGGCGGAGGCGGCCUACUGGGCUUUAACUGACGCUGAGGCUCGAAAGUGUGGGGAGCAAACAGGAUUAGAUACCCUGGUAGUCCACACUGUAAACGAUGAUUGCUAGGUGUGGGGGGUCUGACCCCCUCCGUGCCGGAGUUAACGCAAUAAGCAAUCCACCUGGGGAGUACGG